rnacentral:lncRNA from 1 species
CUUUUGAUCGGGAGUAUUUAAAAAUUAAUCACUAAUUAAUAUAUAUCUCAAAUUCUUAACUCUUUAAAAAUAUACAGAAAUCAUCUUUAUUAAUUUUUAGGAUAAAUCAUGGAUACAUAAAUAUGAUUAAAAAAAAGCUCUUUAUUAAUAAUAAAAAAAUUAUAAGUAUAAGUUUAGGUCCUAAAAUUACAUAAUGUAUCAGCCAACAAUUAGCUUCUAAGGUACAAAUCCAACAUCAGAAACCUUCCAUUACUGAAUUAGAAACUUAGUUAGUUUGACAUCAAAGUACAGUGAGUUAUUUGCAAGUCACCGUGGUGAUCUCAGGUC